rnacentral:rRNA from 1 species
GGAUGUGAUUAUAUUAAUUUUAACAAAUCAAAACUUCACACUUAAGUGUACUUGGGCUAGAGUAGUAUUGGGAUGGGUGACCUCUUGGAAAGUCCUAGUGUUUUUGUUAU